UAGGCAUAGGCUAUGCAGGAGUCUGCUCCACUCUGGGGCUGUGUAGCAGAGCGCAGAAUGGACUCCUCUACUGUCGUCUUCGGGCUUCUGUUCCUCCUGUGCUGUUGCGAAGGACAGCUGAAUCCAGGGAACAAUUCUGUAACUGGACUACCUUCUGUGACAAAUGCAAAUUUGGUGACUAAAACACGCACCCUUCUACCUGGUAGCAAUGUCACUUCAGAAGCAUUAAACUUAACAGAGUCUAAUAGCAGUAUCACAACAUUAUUUCCAGCAUUAUUGAACAAUGUUAGCAGCACUGCCAUCCUGGACUCUUUUUCCCGGAACAAUUCUGUAACUGGACUACCUUCUGUGACAAAUGCAAAUUUGGUGACUAAAACACGCACCCUUCUACCUGGUAGCAAUGUUACUUCAGAAGCAUUAAACUUAACAGAGUCUAAUAGCAGUAUCACAACAUUAUUUCCAGCAUUAUUGAACAAUGUUAGCAGCACUGCCAUCCUGGACUCUUUUUCCCGGAACAAUUCUGUAACUGGACUACCUUCUGUGACAAAUGCAAAUUUGGUGACUAAAACACACACCCUUCUACCUGGUAGCAAUGUCACUUCAGAAGCAUUAAACUUAACAGAGUCUAAUAGCAGUAUCACAACAUUAUUUCCAGCAUUAUUGAACAAUGUUAGCAGCACUGCCAUCCUGGACUCUUUUUCCCGGAACAAUUCUGUAACUGGACUACCUUCUGUGACAAAUGCAAAUUUGGUGACUAAAACACGCACCCUUCUACCUGGUAGCAAUGUCACUUCAGAAGCAUUAAACUUAACAGAGUCUAAUAGCAGUAUCACAACAUUAUUUCCAGCAUUAUUGAACAAUGUUAGCAGCACUGCCAUCCUGGACUCUUUUUCCCGGAACAAUUCUGUAACUGAACUACCUUCUGUGACAAAUGCAAAUUUGGUGACUACAACAAAUACCCUUCUACCUGGUAGCAAUGUCACUUCAGAAGCAUUAAACUUGACAGAGUCUAAUAGCAGUAUCACAACAUUAUUUCCAGCAUUAUUGAACAAUGUUAGCAGCACUGCCAUCCUGGUCUCUUUUUCCCGUAAAUGCUCUGAGUUCCCACCAUUAUGCUGUGAAGGACAAAAUGAUGGUUGUAAUAGGGGCUGCUAUUGUGAUGUGGCUUGUCUACGGCUUAAUGACUGCUGCCCUGACUUCACUACAACUUGUGUAACAGGCGAGCAGGAAGGAACGCCUGUAAACGUGACAGUGACACCUGGCACAAACAGUACAACAUUUCCACUGAACUCAUACUCAGGGAAAUGUUCGGAGGAACCAGCCCUCUGCUGCAGUGGAGGCGACAUGAACUGCUUCAGAGGCUGCUUCUGUGAUGCUUUCUGUUUGCAGGCUAAUGAUUGCUGUCCUGACUACGGCCACACCUGCGGAACAGGGAACAAUUCUGUAACUGGACUACUUUCUGUGAUAAAUGCAAAUUUGGUGACUACAACACGCACCCUUCUACCUGGUAGCAAUGUCACUUCAGAAGCAUUAAACUUGACAGAGUCUAAUAGCAGUAUCACAACAUUAUUUCCAGCAUUAUUGAACAAUGUUAGCAGCACUGCCAUCCUGGGCUCUUUUUCCCAUAAGUCUGUGCUAUGUCUUUAGUAAAUUAAAUUUGUCAUAUGGGUUUGCCAUAUAUGUCAGCAACAGUACAUUAUUUUCACUGAUCUCAUUUUCAGACGGACCAAUGUCUGUUGCAAUAUGAUAUAAAAAUUGCAACAACAAAAAAACCAUGCACAUAUAUCUACCAAGUAAAUGUCACUGCUUUCAUAAUGCACCUUGUUAGUUUGUUGCUUAAAAAAACUUCUCGAAUACAUCAAAGUCUUGACACUAACUGGUAACUGCUCUUUGUCACAUUCUUGCUUUGUGUUUUGCUCUAGGGAACAAUUCUGUAACUGAACUACCUUCUGUGACAAAUUCAAAUUUGGUGACUACAACACAUACCCUUCUACCUGGUAGCAAUGUCACUUCAGAAGCAUUAAACUUGACAGAGUCUAAUAGCAGUAUCACAACAUUAUUUCCAGCAUUAUUGAACAAUGUUAGCAGCACUGCCACCCUGGGCUCUUUUUCCCGGAACAAUUCUGUAACUGGACUACCUUCUGUGACAAAUGCAAAUUUGGUGACUACAACACGCACCCUUCUACCUGGUAGCAAUGUCACUUCAGAAGCAUUAAACUUGACAGAGUCUAAUAGCAGUAUCACAACAUUAUUUCCAGCAUUAUUGAACAAUGUUAGCAGCACUGCCAUCCUGGUCUCUUUUUCCCGUAAAUGCUCUGAGUUCCCACCAUUAUGCUGUGAAGGACAAACUGAUGGUUGUUAUAGGGGCUGCUUUUGUGAUGUGGCUUGUCUACGGCUUAAUGACUGCUGCCCUGACUUCACUACAACUUGUGUAACAGGCGAGCAGGAAGGAACGCCUGUAAACGUGACAGUGACACCUGGCACAAACAGUACAACAUUUCCACUGAACUCAUACUCAGGGAAAUGUUCGGAGGAACCAGCCCUCUGCUGCAGUGGAAGCGACGUGAACUGCUUCAGAGGCUGCUUCUGUGAUGCUUACUGUUUGCAGGCUAAUGAUUGCUGUCCUGACUAUGACCACACCUGCAGAACAGAUCAAACUGUGACAAGUCAGCUGAGGGUGUCCCUCCUCUUUCCAUCUGGCAUAGGGGAUCAGGAAGUGGAAGCAGCCCUUUACAAUGCCAGUCUUUCUCUGGAAGCCUACUUAAAGAACAAAUUCAGUGCAAUCAAGUCUUUCAGAAUCCUCCAUCUUAUGAAACCCUAAGAAGUCCAAUUUAACCAUGAGGAGAUGUAGAGAAAGAAGCAGAGACCUACAAAGCAUGGAAGUUGCAAGGGAAGUUAUUAUAGCAUUAUAAGUGAAAUGGUUCUGUGUUCCUGUCUGUGUUUUCCCUCUGUCUUUCCUCGUUGGGCCGCCAGAUGGCGGCACUUCUGUUUUGUGUCCUGCUCCCCCGGUUUAAUUGUUUUAUUGUUUUCAAUUGUCCAAUUAUUGUUUUUGGUUGUCUUGUUUUCCCUUCCCUCUCUGUGGCCUGAUUGUUCAUUGUGCCCUCCUGUGUCUCGUCUGUGCCGUGUCUAUUUAAGUUUCCCUUCCCCCUGACUCAGGUGCUGGAUCCUUUGUUGUAGUUGGUUGGUUUGUUUGUAACGUGUUUUUGGACUUUUGUAUUUUCUUGUGUCCAGCGUGUUUUGAAGUUUUUCUUUGUGUUUGUUAUAGCUGCCCUGCGAGGCUUUUUGUUCCCUUUUUCCCUGGAAUUAAGUAAAGUCUUUG